AUGUGAGAUGCAGUGUAUGGAAUGUCAAAUUUCUAGUAUGAGAAAUUAACGAUUUAAGUCCUUCUUAAAUGAGGCCAUUUACCCACAGAGGGUGCCAGGCCCGUAUAACGUUAAUGAUUACUAGAUGGCAUUUCCAAAGAGUCGUGUUGCUUGAUAGUGCAGCACUAAGUGGGUGGUAAACUCCAUCUAAAACUAAAUAUAACCAUGAGACCGAUAGUAAACAAGUACCGUGAGGGAAAGUUGAAAAGAACUCUGAAUAGAGAGUUAAAUAGUACGUGAAACUGCUUAGAGGUUAAGCCCGAUGAACCUGAAUAUCCAUUAUAGAAAAUUCAUCAUUAUGAUUUUAAUAUUAAUAAUAUUAUAAUAAUGGUGUGCAUUUUUUCUAUAAAGGACAUUGUAAUCUAUUAACAUAAAUAUAUUUAUCAUAAGAUCAAUGAUGCGUAAGUUUAUUCAAAUUAUUUUGCUUGCAAUUUAACAUAGAAUAAAUGCUCUUGAUUUGAUAAAGUGUUGAUAGAUUUAUUGUAUAUAGUGCUUAAAUAUUUAUAUUUUAUAAUAGCAUAUUAAUCAUUGAUUUUUAUGUUUAUUAUAUGCACUUAUAUGAUUAACAAUGCGAAAGAUUCAGGAUACCUUCGGGACCCGUCUUGAAACACGGACCAAGGAGUCUAACAUAUUUGCAAGUUAUUGGGUAUUAAAACCUAAUAGCGAAAUUAACAUAACUUUAAUGGGAUUAGUUUUUAGAUUAUUUAUAGUCUAUUAAUUCAAUCCCGGGGCGUUCUAUAUAGUUAUGUAUAAUAAUAUUUAUAUUAUUUAUACCUCUAACUAGAGCGUACCUUGAGCAUAUAUGCUGUGACCCGAAAGAUGGUGAACUAUACUUGAUCAGGUUGAAGUCAGGGGAAACCCUGAUGGAAGACCGAAACAGUUCUG
rnacentral:rRNA from 1 species